ensembl:snRNA U6 U6 spliceosomal RNA
GAGCGAGAAGACCAGCACAUAUACUAAAAUUGGAACAAUACAGAGAAGAUUAGCAUGGUCCCUGCGCAAGGAUGACAUGCAAAUUUGUGAAGGGUUCCAUAUUUUU